rnacentral:rRNA from 1 species
GCUCGAGUGGCGAGCGGGUGAGUAACACGUGAGUAACCUGCCCUUGACUUUGGGAUAACUUCAGGAAACUGGGGCUAAUACCGGAUAGGAGCUCCUGCUGCAUGGUGGGGGUUGGAAAGUUUCGGCGGUUGGGGAUGGACUCGCGGCUUAUCAGCUUGUUGGUGGGGUAGUGGCUUACCAAGGCUUUGACGGGUAGCCGGCCUGAGAGGGUGACCGGCCACAUUGGGACUGAGAUACGGCCCAG